AUUGAACGCUGGCGGCAUGCUUUACACAUGCAAGUCGAACGGUAACAGGCCGCAAGGUGCUGACGAGUGGCGAACGGGUGCGUAAUGCAUCGGAACGUGCCCAGUCGUGGGGGAUAACUACUCGAAAGAGUAGCUAAUACCGCAUACGAUCUAUGGAUGAAAGCGGGGGACCGUAAGGCCUCGCGCGAUUGGAGCGGCCGAUGUCAGAUUAGGUAGUUGGUGGGGUAAAGGCUCACCAAGCCAACGAUCUGUAGCUGGUCUGAGAGGACGACCAGCCACACUGGGACUGAGACACGGCCCAGACUCCUACGGGAGGCAGCAGUGGGGAAUUUUGGACAAUGGGCGCAAGCCUGAUCCAGCAAUGCCGCGUGGAGGAAGAAGGCCUUCGGGUUGUAAACUGCUUUUGUACGGAACGAAACGGCUCUGGUUAAUACCCGGGGCUAAUGACGGUACCGUAAGAAUAAGCACCGGCUAACUACGUG
rnacentral:rRNA from 1 species